rnacentral:tRNA from 1 species
AGGGGUAUAGCUCAGUGGUAGAGCUUGGCAUGGGGGAGGUCCUGGGUUCAAUCCCCAGUGCCUCUG